rnacentral:rRNA from 1 species
UACAGGGGGCUCGAGCGUUAGUCGGAAUCACUGGGCUUAAAGGGUGCGUAGGCGGCUCGCCAAGUGCUUUUGUGAAAUCCCACAGCUCAACUGUGGAACAGCAGGGCAAACUGGCGAGCUCGAAGCAGGUAGGGGCUGGAAGAACAGUAGGUGGGAGCGGUGAAAUGCGUAGAUAUCUACUGGAAUGCCGAUGGGGGAAGCCGUCCAGCUGGGCCUGUCUUGACGUGAGGCACGAAAGCGUGGGGAGCAAACAGG